CCAAAUUAGUUGAUUAUUAUUUCAAUAAUCGAUUAAUCACAAUUAAUUGUUUCAGCCCUUCUUUGAACAUCAAUUCUGAAGAAUUUCUCCACAGAUUCUCUCCUGUAUUGAAGUCUAGACUUUGACACACUUUGAUCCAAACCGUCUCAUUGUUGCUGCAUGUUUAGGGUUCUGGUCCCACUGGAAGGUGAACCUUCUUCUCUAGUUGAGCUUCCACUGACCAUAGAAUUACAUAAAUUGGGAUUAUGAAAAUAAAUGUUUCUUUGUUUGCGUUAGGAUGAGGUGGUUUCACAGCAUUGGGCGGAAAAGACGAAGAAGACGACAGGAUGAUGGCGAUUACUUGGAUUGCAGCUGAACCACACUUAUUCCAGUGUGAAUUGAGAAGUGAGCUGGUCUGAAUUUAAGUCAAGACCUGGAUCUAGUUUGGGAGUUGAAGGUUGACUUGACACAGGCUGAACUUGAAGGAAGCCUCCUCAAAAACCUCACAGCUGAAAGUGAGCGGCAGAAGAAUGAAUUUUCUUUAAAACAGAAUAUUCUUUGGGGUUUCCUACGAUUUCAGGUCACUGUAGCUUAACCCAGAGUUUUUCAAACUGGAGGGGUGGAAAAAAUUUAAUAAAAAACGUUCAUCAUAUUGUUUUUAGUCAUAAAAUCUAAUCUCUUCUUCAAUCAAUAUUGUAGAAUAUGGGGUAGAAAAACUUAUUAAAAUGUUAUUUGCCUUUCUCAGCUUUCUGAUUGGCUGCCAGGCAAAUUCACCAAGCUGCUUUGCUCCUCAAGCUAGCUUAGUGUAGCCAGCUAAUAUCAGAAGGUACGAGGCAGCAUUUAUGCUAAGCAAAUAUGAUUAUUGUAGAGACAACAAAAGUUGAUGAUUGCAUUGUCCGUACUAAUGAAACUAAUCCUGAUUCGGGAGCCAUGGUUUGGAAAAGUUUGGGAACCCCUAGCUUAACCUAAAACAGGAUACAGUUGGAUUGAUAUGCAUGUCUCCUCUCUUAGCAUCAUAUCUAUAACAUAUUUUUUGUACAUUUAAAAUGGCGCGGCUGCAAAUCCGUCAAGUAAUUUCACCGAGAACAACGAAGCGACGCGACUCUUACAGUUUGUUUCACAUCCACACGACGAUAAGAUGUUCGGAAAUCCCUUAAAAGCAGACGAAGUGAAUUAUUAAUGCCUCCUUUGAACCACAUGUUGUGUUUUAGGAACGAUAGCUCUGCAGCCUUUCAGGUAUUUGUACUCACGUUCUUUAGGAACACAGAGAACUGAUGAAAAAUGAGGCAUUCUGGGAGCUCAGAUGUUCCCACAUCAUCAUUUGACCGUUUUCUGAUUAUUAAGAUUUCAGGUGUGAUUUGCUUCUGUUUGAUUUGUUCCAUGCAAAGUUACAGCUACCCCAUCUUACAUCUCUGUCCGUCUCCUCUUUUCUAUCCAUCCCCUUUGCCUUUUUUAUUUUCUUUUUCUCUCUGUGUGUGUUUAUGUGUGUAUUACGCCCGGUAUUGUCUGACACAGGCUGGCAUCUUGUGUACGAUGAAAAUAAGAUGGAUGAAAACACUCGUGGGUGGACGGCAUCAAUGGUCGCGCAGAACAUGCGUGUGUGUGUGACCAUUCAUCACUUCUCCGUCGCUCGGCGUUCCUCUCACUCCCUGCUGUGUGUGUGUGUGUGUGUCAGUAUUGUGUAAGUUUCUGUACAUCUCCCCGCUUCGCGUGUCCGUCUGUUUGGGCGUCUGUUAUAUAACACGGAGGCGAACCAGCUGUGGUUUCCCUGGCCGUCCUCGCCCUCGCUCUCCCGCUGGCCUUCGCUCCAUAAAAUAUUCAUGCUCUCGCCCGCUCCUCAACACUCUUCUUCUGCCCUCCAUAUUUAUGAAGCCGGCCGUCUACCUCUGGUGUUGGGCGGAUUGAGAUCCUCGUGGCCGGAAAGAUUUAUGCAAGAUUUAUUUUACUUGUUGCCGCGGAGUGUGUGCGCGCGCGAGACAGUGAUCCUGGUCAACGGCCGCCCGCCUCGCUAAACAUUAGCAUAUGAAGCAUUAGCAUACGAAGCAUUAGCAUACGAAGCAUUAGCAUACUGGGGUGUGUUCUUAAAGACUAACAGAAUUUGGUGUCUCUUUCAUCCUCCUCUGCGCUACUUUACAAUUUAUGAUCGGUUUGAUUAAAUGAGUGCCUAAAGGAUAUUUUGAAACUUUGGAAAUGAAGGAAAUUUAUUUCUGAUUGACAAUGAUUGCUAUCAGACUGAGUUGCUAAAAUCGCACCAAGAAAUACACGACACGACUUGAACAACGUAUCAUUAUAUGAGCAUAUGACAUCAGUCGAUAACCAAUGAUUAUUGAUUAGUUUAAAAUAUUUGACAUGCAGCCAAGUUGGUGGUGUGACCUUCACUGUUUUAUCCACAAUUUUCACUCCACCCCGUUGUAGUUUUUUAUUCUUCAGUAGUUACCAAGCAUAAUAGUGAAACCUGAAACUGCUGCUGCACAAGUUACUCAACAGGUUGUUGCUAGGUAACCAAAGGGAGAGUUAGUGAGUUGCUAGGAAACCAGAGUGAGUGAGUCAGUUGAUUCUACCAACUUUGUUUAGCUAGCU